rnacentral:rRNA from 1 species
UACGUAGGGUGCAAGCGUUGUCCGGAAUUAUUGGGCGUAAAGAGCUUGUAGGCGGUUUGUCGCGUCUGCUGUGAAAAUCCGGGGCUCAACCCCGGACUUGCAGUGGGUACGGGCAGACUAGAGUGUGGUAGGGGAGACUGGAAUUCCUGGUGUAGCGGUGGAAUGCGCAGAUAUCAGGAGGAACACCGAUGGCGAAGGCGACACGCUGGGCCGUACCUGACACUGAACCGCGACAGCAUGGGGAGCAAACAGG